rnacentral:sRNA from 1 species
CCUGCCUCGGCCUCCCAAAAUGCUGGGAUUAUAGGCGUGAACCACCGCGCCCAGCCUACUUUGACUUUUACUCUGUUAGGUUUUCCAGAAUGCUGACUCUUCUGCCCCGUGAACCAGGGACUCCAAAGAAUAAGAUUCAUGGGGGCAGGGGCAAGGAGUUAAUGUAUUCUUUCUGUCUGUGGCCAGCCAUCUUCCCUGGUACAUCUUCUUUUCUCAGUUCAAACUGAGGAAUGGGUUAGCUGGAACUGGAGUCUUUCUCUUCCCCUAUUUUCCUCUGAAAGAGUUCAGUGUAAAAGUUUUUUUACCCAUUAGCUGGGUGAGAAUGCCAGAUAAAUGGCAGAACAAGUUAAAAAUGAGAUUGUUCCCUCAACUUCAUGUGAAAGGUGGAGUAUUUGGCUAGAUAUUCUGUUUAUUGUUUAAUGGAUUGAACCUUGAAAAAUAAAAACCCCAUAAGAAUAGCA